rnacentral:lncRNA from 1 species
AGUCUUUAACUGAAGGGCACUGACUGGGUCACUGGUGAAGUUCCCCGCAGGAACUGAGUCAGACCCCAUCUCAGGGCCCUGCACAAGAUAGGUGCCUGCUCUAAGGCGUGGACCCUCGCCACAGCCCUGGCCCGUCUUGACGGGCGAGGGUUACUGUACUUGUCCCAACCGUACAGAUGAGAAAGCUGAGACUCAGGGCCAGCAACCCGGGUCCCAGCGGAGCGCCCGGCACACGCCGACACUUCAGCACCAGUGGCGGUGGCCACCACUGUGGGCGGAGAUGGCUGCGACGCGUGCGCAGGUAAAGUCUAUGCGCGCCUUGCCUCCCACCGGCGCCUUCCCCGGCCUCUGGUUUUUGUCCCCGCCAGCGGCUCCGACUCCAUCGCGUCCUCUUCCAGUCUAGUGCUUUUUUCCAGAUCUCGAUCCCAAACUCCCUCCUGCCAGAAUCUGGACCCGAAUCCACCCAUUGCCCGUUUUCCGCUGCCGCUGGAGAGAAUCUCUGAGGUCCCCAGGAGAGCCUGCCUGCACGGAAGAGACGCCUCCUCGGUAUGGCCGCCCCCGGAGAGGAGCGAUUAAGUGCAGACCUCCUUGUUGCUCUUGAGCCUGAGCGGCUUCAGGGAGCCAUGUUUGUUACUGGCGGGCGCCGACCUCACUGAGCAUGUGCAGCCCUGGCCGGGCGGCCUCAAAGUUCUGACAUCACAGGGCGGUUCCUGAAGUGGACGUAGUUUGUCUUAGAAGUCAUGAAAAUUUCAGAAAAUGACAGGUCUUCUGAGUUCGUGAUGGGAGUUGGGCAGCAGUCGCAUACGAGCACCUGGAGAGUCCUUGCCAGUUCUUUGGGGAUGGGGAGCUCUUAAGACUGCCCUGAGACCGCCCUUUGACCUCAUUGUGGUCCUUUCUAGAUUAAAUGCUGUUUUCCAUGACCGUCUCUGUUCUUCCCAUACGGGAAUGGCAGGCAUUCAGAUCUCCAAGAAUAGAGGAUUAGGAGAGACUCCACCACCUAUGUCCUCACAGUUAAUUAUCGAUUUGUGUCAGUUGCCCAUUUUCUCACUUCCUGUUUGUGUGUCAAGGGGUAUUAAUAAAUCUUUGCCUAUUUAAA